rnacentral:lncRNA from 1 species
UGAAGGUUACUCUGAUAUUUAUCCUAUUUCUGCUUGGCACGUGUUUGAACCAGAUAUAUCAUCUACAGUUUUUAACAAAUUGAAUAAUAUGAAUGAACAAGAUAAAAUAAAAUUAGAUCAGAAUAAUAAAAGGUUAGAUGAUAUUAUAGAAAGAUUAAAAAACAAAGAAGAUAAUAUGAAAAUAGGUACUAAAAAAAAAAUGGAUGAAAAAAAUAAAUUGAAAAAAAAAAAAAUAAAAUAUAUAAAUACUUCAUCAGAUGAAGAAGAUGACGACGAUGAUGAUGGUAAUGAUGAUGAUGAUUUAGGAUUAAAACGACAAGAAAAAAAAAGAUUAAGAAAAUUAUAUAGACAAAAAAUAAAUGAAAGUAAAGAGAAAAUUGAUUAUGUAAAUUCAGCAUUAGAUAUUAAAUCUAUUAAUAAAAAUAAAAUUGGUUGGGAUUAUUAUAAUGAUGGAAAAAAAAGUGAUGAUGAAGAUAUAAAUGAGCAAGAUUCAGGGAUGGAAGAUUUUGAUGAUGAUGAUGAUGAUGAGUUUGAUGAUUCUGAUAUUAAUUCGGAUAAUGACGAAUCUACAUUGACUUCUUAUGGACAAGCUGUGAAAUCUUUACUAAAACAACAAGUUAAUGAUGAAGAAGAUGAUGAAUUAGAACAAUAUUCUGAUGGUGAUGACGAUGAAGAUGAAGAUGAAGAUGAUGAAAAGGAAAAGCGUAAAAAUAUUUCUUUAAAAAAUAACAAAACAACUACAAAAAAAAGAUUAAUGCAAAAUAAAUCAGAAAUAAGUGAUAAUAAAAAUGGAAAUAAAAAGAGAAAACUUAACGUUAGUGGAAAAAAUAAAUAUAAACGGGAAGAAGAAGAAGAUGAUGAUGAUGAAUCAGAUGACGAAGAGGAUACUGAGGAAGAUGAAACAGGAGAUGAUGAAGGUACUGAUGAUGAAGAUGAAGAUGAGGAAGAAGAUGACGACGACGACGAAGAUGAUGAUGAUGAUGAUGAUGAUGAUGAUGAAGAAGAAGGUGAAGAUGAAGACGACGAUGACGAAGAUAGUGAUGAAGAAACAGAUAGUGAUGAUGAAGAAGAAGAAGAAGAAGAAAAAAAUAAAAAAAAAGGAGAAAAAAAAAAUGUAACACAACAAUCAAAACAAAAUAAUAAUCCUCCUACUAAUAUUAAUGAUUUCGUUAAAGAAAAAAUUAGAAGAAAAGAAAUAAAAAUAAGCGAAGAAAACUGCGCUAAACUUUUAUUAAAAAUUUUAAUGAAAAAUAAUGGAAAGAUGAAUAUAAUGACAUUAUU